CCCUGCUCAGGGUCCGAUGUCAAUUUUGCGCUCUCCCCUCUCAGGUUCUCCUCUAAUUUAGAGAGGUGACCCUCUCCUUGCCGGUAACAACGCGCACGGAGAGCAGUGCGGCACACGGACAAACUCUCCCUGAAACCAACGCCCUUCAUUUCUCGGAUCCGCAAGCCCGCGCGGAAAACAAUCUGUAAAAGCCCGGAUGUUCUGCACUGGCCGCCAUCUUGGUUUGGAACCUGUUGAAGAUGGUUCGGGUCGCCCGCCAUGUGCAACACAAAGAUGAGUUCUGAACGUUAGUGCCCGCGUGUGUGUCGGCAAGGGUUCGGGAGUGGGCGCUUUGGAAUCAAACAAGUACUGAUUACAGCCUUUCUUGUGAAGCAGAAAGUAUUUGAAGGGAAAGGAGGCGGCUCCAUCGAAAUUGUGCCGUCGGCCACCUAAAUGCUCAAGCGGACUGUCCGCGGCGCUGAGGAAGAAGGCGGCUGUGGUCGGCGUGAUGUUUGCUGGAGGGAAACCGAGCUGAACGUGAACCACGGCGAUCUGGCAAUUGUGGACGUCGCUGCCAAACGACCCAGACCCGGAAAUGUUUAAAAGGACAGGAUGCAGCUGCGUCAAAUUGUGCUGUCAGAGAAAUCAUCGAAGUCCCAAUUUGUGGCGCUCUGGAAGAAGGCAGCUCUCGUUGCAGUGAUGUCUGCGGGCAAUCCGAAGAGAAACCGAGUGGCACCUGAACCACAGAGAUAUGGAAAUCUGGACAUUGGUGCAAAUGUAUGACGCUGGCCAGGAAAUAUUUGAAGGGAAAGGAGGCAGCUCCAUCAAAAUUGUGCAGUCGAUCAUCGAAAUGCUCAAACUGACUGUCCGCGGCUCUGUGGAAGAAGGCAGCUGUGGUCGGAGUGAUGUUUGCUGGAGGGAAACUGAGCUGAACGUGAACCACAGUGACCUGGCAAUUGUGGACGUCGCUGUGAACGUACAACGUUUGAACAGAACAGAAGAUCAAGUAUACCCAGUAACAGUGUCAUUGCAGAGAACCUAAGUGGUGAACACCAGCCGGCUGCACCAGACCGGAUUAUAGCAGACCCACAACAAAUAGAAGGCAGAAGAUACCGAGAGCAUGACAGAAAGCCAUAAAUAGCAUGUUAAAGUGUCAUGGUAACGGUACUCUGUAAUGAAGGCUGGUUGCUGAAAGGAGAUGAUUAUUUGUACAGUAUAGAAUAGAAAAGAUACUAGGGAAAAUAGAUGGGGAGGGAUCCAAGUGACAGCAGAGACAUCAGGUUCCACAACUUCACUGGUAUAGCAGACUGAGAAAGAGAAGAAAUUGCACAUGGCAGUCAUCCCCAGCCUGAAUGGGGAGUGAACACAAAUGAGCUGGGCCAUUUCAGCGCUUGUGUCAGCAAUUGACUGGACAGUUUGGAAGGGGGUGCCACUAGGAGAGGUCCUUGCAGACAUUCAAAUAGAGGCCACCUCACCCCCUUCCUGUGCAUCGAUGAGAGGGCCUGUAAGCCUGAUACAUUUUACUUUGCUGGUGACCGUGGAAAGAGACCCUACAUUUUUAAAGACUGUAGUUCGAAUUUCUGGAACAAUCUCUCUGCUUAGUGUCUUGUAGGUAGCUGUUAAGGGUGGUAGGGUAGAUGUGGAUGCACACAGUAAUUGGGAGGGAUUCCGAAGUAGGGAAUUUCCACUACCCUAUUUGAGUAGAUCCUCCUCAUGGUUGGCCUUUCCUGGUUCAAAUUUAUGAUGUACAGAAGGGCCAAGAGAAGGUUCUGGUAGGGUAUUUUUUGGGUUAGCACAUAUAGCAAAUAGUUCCAGCAACUAACUUCAGCCACCAAUCUUCAAAUCUGAAAUGUGGAAUGUAGAGCAAAUUUCAAAUGCAACUCUGAACAAUGGGUUCCUAAGACCCAUGAAUCACGUUUAGUUUACUGACCACACAAUGCUGAUUAAAAUUCAACAUUUAGAUGUCUGGUAUGAAGGCUGUGUGUAAUUCAAAGGAAGCAUUGUAAAUAUGAAAUUGGCCUCUAAUCUUUAGCAGAUAAAAUGUCAUGUAGUGUUGUUUCAAGCAGGUCUCUUCCUCUGAAAUGGUCUCAAUAUGAUGUUUUCUGUAUCUCAUUUUGUCAAAUAAAGACACUAUUUGAUCUCCACCAAGUCUCUAUGGUGACUUUGUUCACACGAAUACAAAUGUGUGGCUAAGAAUCUGAUGCAGGGGGCAGGGUUUCAGAUUUCUGGAUCAUUACAAUCUCUUCUGGGGAAGGUGUGACUUGUACAAAAGGGACAGGUUACAGAUGAACACAAGGGGGGCAAUCAACAUCCUUGCAGGCAGGUUUGCUUGUGCUGUUGGGGUUGGUUUAAACUAAUUUGGCAGGGCAGUAGGAACCAAAAUGGUAGGGCAAUUGGUUUACCAUCAUUGACCAUGGAUAGUGAGACAUUCAGGAAGGAUGGGCAGAUGAUAGGGUAAAUUUAUAAACAGUGGAAUGAUUUGCAGUG